rnacentral:rRNA from 1 species
GGGNNUUUGGNCAUGGGGGNAACCCUGNUCCAGCCAUGCCGCGUGAGUGAAGAAGGCCUUCGGGUUGUAAAGCUCUUUUGGUCGGAAAGAAAAGGCUACGGCUAAUACCCGUGGUCCUUGACGGUACCGGCAGAAUAAGCACCGGCUAACUACGUGCCAGCAGCCGCGGUAAUACGUAGGGUGCGAGCGUUAAUCGGAAUUACUGGGCGUAAAGAGUGCGUAGGCGGUCCCGCAAGUCCGUUGUGAAAGCCCCGGGCUUAACCUGGGAAUGGCAGUGGAAACUAGGGGACUUGAAUCUGGCAGAGGGGGGUGGAAUGCCACGUGUAGCAGUGAAAUGCGUAGAGAUGUGGCGGAACACCGAUGGCGAAGGCAGCCCCCUGGGCUGAGAUUGACGCUCAGGCACGAAAGCGUGGGGAGCAAACAGGAUUAGAUACCCUGGUAGUCCACGCCCUAAACGAUGAUCACUAGGUGUUGGGGAAGCGAUUUCUCAGUACCGCAGCUAACGCGUGAAGUGAUCCGCCUGGGGAGUACGGUCGCAAGAUUAAAACUCAAAAAAAUUGACGGA